AGUGAACGCUGGCGGUAGGCCUAACACAUGCAAGUCGAACGGCAGCACAGUAAGAGCUUGCUCUUACGGGUGGCGAGUGGCGGACGGGUGAGGAAUACAUCGGAAUCUACUUUUUCGUGGGGGAUAACGUAGGGAAACUUACGCUAAUACCGCAUACGACCUACGGGUGAAAGCAGGGGAUCUUCGGACCUUGCGCGAUUGUAUGAGCCGAUGUCGGAUUAGCUAGUUGGCGGGGUAAAGGCCAACCAAGGCGACGAUCCGUAGCUGGUCUGAGAGGAUGAUCAGCCACCCUGGAAGUGAGACACGGUCCAGACUCCUACGGGAGGCAGCAGUGGGGAAUAUUGGACAAUGGGCGCAAGCCUGAUCCAGCCAGACCGCGUGGGUGAAGAAGGCCUUCGGGUUGUAAAGCCCUUUUGUUGGGAAAGAAAAGCAGCAGGUUAAUACCCCGCUGUUCUGACGGUACCCAAAGAAUAAGCACCGGCUAACUUCGUG
rnacentral:rRNA from 1 species